rnacentral:rRNA from 1 species
UACGUAGGGGGCAAGCGUUGUCCGGAUUUAUUGGGCGUAAAGAGCGUGUAGGCGGCUAGGUAGGUCCGUUGUGAAAACUCGAGGCUCAACCUCGAGACGUCGAUGGAAACCAUCUAGCUAGAGUCCGGAAGAGGAGAGUGGAAUUCCUGGUGUGGCGGUGAAAUGCGCAGAUAUCAGGAAGAACACCAAUGGCGAAGGCAGCUCUCUGGGACGGUACUGACGCUGAGACGCGAAAGCGUGGGGAGCGAACAGG